UCCUUCUGCGUGUGUAGAAUCUGCGUGUGUCGCCCGCACCAAUACCUGACAACAUUGUGGAAAUAGUUGCAGUUGAAACAGAGAUUGUAUGCAAGUCCUCAGCUGCUACUGCAUCUCCAAGAAAGACAGCAGGUAUAUCAUCUCGUGACGACCACAUUGAAGUCUGAAUUUGAAGUGCGAAGAUGCUUCAGCAACCACAUCGUACUUUUCCAUUGCUUUCAUUGUGCUUCUACUGUGCAUGUGUGUAACUUGUGGGGUAUACAUGUGAUGACAUUGUAUGCUGGCGACACGGUCAGAUUUUGUCCAUGCGUGUAACGUACACCUGCAUGUUAUGCAUCGAAAAGGAUCUGCCACUUGCGAUCCUGGGACAAGUAUCAGGUCAGCUUUGUCUUGUGUGGGCUGCACCAGAUUGCUGUUCACUUUUCUAUCUGUUGGAUAUGUGACUUUCUGCAAGUCUCUGGUGUAUGGUGGCCACUUCUUUGCUUGUCACUUUGUAUGAUAUUACAUUCUGUAUUCGCUGCUUCCAUGGCGUGGUCUGCAAACUGCAACCCUUGGGCAAAUGUCAUGUUUGCUAUGUUGUGCUUUGGCCGUCAGCUUGUCUACACGUUGUAGUUGAAUUAUUUUGUUCCCCAACUGA